rnacentral:lncRNA from 1 species
AAAAAUGCCGAGGGAUCAGUUGGUAGGUCUUGGUGGCAGUGGUCCUGGAGGGGAAGCAGGGUUCGUGAUGCAUAGCUCUGCUGGCCUUCUCUUGCUUUCCAUGAUUAUUUUCUCCCUAUCAAUUAUCUCAAUGGUCAUUUUCGCUUGUGGUGAUGACAACUCUGGAGAGCCUAGCGAAAGAACUGCUGCUUCUGCUGCAGCUGCUGCUGCUGCUGGUGAAGCUGUUGGUGCUGCUGUUGCUGCUGUUGCUGAUGCUGGUGGAGGAGGCGGCGGCGGUGGAGGUUGCGGGGGAGGGGGUGGAGGUGGAGGUUGCUGAUGCCGAGGAUAUCUGAAUUCCUGUGUUUCUGUUAAUAGUUUCGCCAAUAAUGAUAAUUUAUAAGUCACUAUGCAUUUUACAACAGAAUAUUUUUCUGAAAAGCUGGUUUGCUCAUACAGAUACAAAGUAGUAAGCUACAUGUUGCAACAUAUCCCCUACCUUGUUUUAGUAUUUCAAUUUUGUCAUCAACAACUAAAAAAAUUUACCCAACUUCGCUUGAGUUAUAAUUUUAUUCGGUAUGAACAAGC